CAUUCCCCAACCAGUUUCCACAAUAUGAUCUCUCCUGCCUUGAACUUCCCCUUCAGGAUAUCAAAAUUAUCGAAGCCCUUUUUUCCUUCAAACCGUUCAAAGCCCCGGGUCCGGAUGAGCUGCACCCUUACUUUUUUCAAUUCCAAUGGCACAUUGUUGGAAAUUCCGUAAGAGACCUGUGCCAUCAAAUUUUCCGUAUGCAGGCCCUUCCCACUUCGAUAAAUGAAACUUAUGCCUUAUCCCAAAAUUCCCAAAUGCUAACUAUUUGAAAAAUUUCCUUCCCAUUAGCUUAUGUAACACCUCUUACAAAAUAAUAACAAAAAUCAUUGCUAAUCGUAUCAAACCUCACUUACCCACCUUUGUCGGCCCUCACCAAAUUAAUUUUUUGAAAGGUCGUAGGGCUUGUGAUAACGUCAUCCUUGUCCAAGAGCUCGUCAGUCGCUUAUGAUAUUCUAACAGUAACAAGAGCAGCCUAAUAUUUAAAAUAGAUCUAGAAAAAGCCUUUGACCGUCUUAAAUGGUCUUUUGUUUACUGCAACCUCCGUCACUUUAAUUCCCUCCUCAAAUCACUUCUCUUAUUAUGACCUGUAUAUCCACUAGUAAUAUUGUCGUCCUGGUCGAUGGAACUCGAAUAAAUUUUUUCUCCCGCUCACGAGGUAUUCAUCAAGGUGAUUCGAUGUUGCCCUAUAUCUUUAUUUUGUGUAUGUAACUUCUCUCCAUAUAUAUCAACCAUCAAGUUAAUAUACUACGCUGGGAUCCUAUCAGUCUUGGCAUCCAUGGGCCUCCCGUCUCUUAUCUCUCCUUUGCCGACGAUUUAACCCUUGUUUCAAAGGCUACUCCUAAGUCUAUCCACACCAUCUCUAACUAUCUGCAGUAUUUCUGCAUGCUUUCCACUCAAAAAAUCAAUACUGGAAAGUCGAAGGCUUUUACUCCAAGAUCUGUCCCAAUUCCAUUAAGAAACUUGUUAACGAUCUCCUAAAUAUAUCUUCGAUCAACAAUUUUGAAAAAUACUUAGGUUUUCCCGUUCUUAACUAUAAGCCUAAAUGCGCUGACUUCCAGUUUCUUAUAGAUAAUAUGCGCAAAAAACUCUAUGCUUCGAAAACCAAUUUCUUAUCGCAGGCGGGCAGGCUUGUGCUUGCAAAAUUUGCUCUUAAUGCCAUCCCUGCGUACACCAUGCUGUAUUUUCAACUCCCUAAACAAGUUUGUCACUCCAUUGAUCAUAUUCAAAGAGAUUUUAUUUGGGGAUCUAUAUCACAAAAUCAUAAACUUCAUUAUGUCUCUUGGGGUAAGAUUACCACCUCUAAGGAUCAUGGGGGUUUUGGUAUUCAAGAUUGUGUUACAAAAAAUAAAGCUAUCCUUACUGGCCUAUCUUGAAGAAUCUUCACUUACCCCAACGCCUUCUGGGUUCGUGUUUUAUCUUCCAAAUAUAACCACUAUCGUUUUGGUCCCGCUCGCUCCUUUAUUUGGAAAAAUAUUCUUCAGGGCGAUGCUAUUUGUAAUCAGACCACCGUGUAGGCCCUUGCCUCGGGUAAAUCCAUCAACCUUUGGACUUACCACUGGAUUCCCGACUUCCCACCGCUGCGGCACAUCCUAUAAGGUCCUCUUCUUUGUAAUGAGGAUAAGCUCACCCUUUCGGAUAUCUGGAACGGCCAUACCUUAGAAUGGCAUAAAAUAUCCUUUGAUAUCCCCCCGGAUAUCAGUCAAAGGGCCUCCUGUGUUCGUCUAAAUAAUGGUCUUGGAGCCUAUGAUUACUCUUAUUGGGCCCUCAAUAAGAAUGGACUGUUUUCAACCAAAUCAGUCCAUCAUCUACUUACAAAUCACCUACAUACCCCUUAUGAAUUUAGUUGGAUCUGGAAACUUCAUACGUUGGAAAAAAUCAAGUUGUUCCUUUGGUUAUGCUCACAUGACAGACUCCCGACUUCAGCUUACCUCUAUUAUAUUGGUCUUGCUCCUACUUCCCAUUGUCGUAUCUGCAAUCUCAAACCUGAACCUAUUUUCCAUAUUUUUCUCCGCUGCUAUGUUGCGUAGAAGUUUUGAAUAGAUAUCGGCAUAAACCUACUCAACAUAGCCGCUACCAACUACCACUGGCUCCACACUCUUCGUAACUUAAAUCCCCCCUUCCAUGCCGACCAGCCUGACUGGUCCAUGUUGAGGAGCUUGGGGAAUCCAACCUUUUCUAGAUUAAGCUCUUAUCUGUCCAGAACUAGUGAUGAUGACUUUUUGGUAGCUCCACCUGAUGUUGUUGAAGCCCAGCUUCGUCAAGAUCGAAAUAGAGUGUUGUGUAGUACAGUAGUAUCAUGGUCUGCUUAUAGUUAACUUGUAUGUCUAGGGAAUCAAUCAGUAUUGUGUAAUUAUGGUAGAAAUAUUUCCUUGUUGGAAUCCUCUAAGAGUCAUCUUAUGGACUCUAUUUUGUUAAGGUCUGGUCACUGCCAGUACUUCUACUGUUGUCCUAUGUAAACCUUCUUAACUUCAGUCUCUAUUUUAUAGAUAAUA